UAGAAGAAGAAGACGCUGGAGAGAGGGCUUUCCUGUCAGUAGCCCUCACUAGAAGUCCUGAAAGGACACCUGACUUUUCACAAAUGGAGACCUCCAUACCUACCCAGAAAUUCCAACUGAUUUACAAACUGUUUAUGUUGGAGAGUGCCCGAAACACUAUCGAAGAGGAACUUUACUUCUUACUCCAAAAGGUUUCUGAUGAGGUUCAGGAGUUAUUUCACUCAACUUUGCCUAACAGUGUGCUCACUAAUCUUUCUAAAGCACUGGACGUGAAAUAUUCUGUGUUAAAGAACUUUUCAACUCUACUGAGAGACUUAACAACAGAGGGUGAAGAAGAAGUAGUUGAUAUGCAGUUAGUUAUCAAAAAAGGAAUGAGAAGAAACCACCUUCAGCCUCUCAGACUUAAUGGAGUUCUCCAAACAAAUGCCUUCAAGUUUGGGCCCAUGUUGACCAACUCUCUAAUGGCAACCUCCAUCUCCAAAGCAGUCCAGGUGCUUGGAGCCAUGCAUUCCCUUCAGCAGCUCAAACUGUUUUUGACCUCUAGUUGUCCAAUCAUCAGCCAAGAUGACACUACAAGCUCCACUGCAUCCAACAUUAACAGCACUAUUUUACCUGCCAGCACACCCUGCUCUUCAAAGACAGAAACAGAAAAAGCAGUUUUUGAUGAGAACAGCCAAGAAGACUUUUCCUGUCUUCGAACUUUCAUCAAUCAAACCCUCAAGCCCAGUGCAGUACCUCAAAAGCCAGCAACGCUCCCAGAGAGUGGAAGCUUUAAACCUACCAACAUCAGCCCAUUGACAAACUGGAAACGGCAAAAUGAUGCCCAGGUGCAACACCAUCGACAAACAUCCUUUCAGCUCUUAAACUUUCUCAGAAAAAACACAUUUAACAUUUCUGCGGUGCAGGGGAGAUUUAGGGAGUGGAAUAAAAAUGCACGUACUUUAGAGGUGUUGGAACCAACAGCACCAGUAAUCAAAAGACAAACCAGUCAUGUUGUGAAAGAUGACCACACAAAUGGAGUUGUUUCAGAAAUGUCGAAAAAGAACCGUGAUAACCAAGCUCCAGUCUUCAGCUUCAAAAAAAGAGAGUCAAAUAGCUUGAUCACUUACAGUUGUGUGAUUACAACAGAAACUGAAUUGUGGGAUAUUAUAGACGUUCCCAUCGAGAAGGCCCUUGGGGGAUCUGUACUCAGCCACCUAGAAGGCAAUGAGUGUUCGAAAACAAUUGGCCAAGUGGCUGACUUCAGUGUAAACAGUCACGGAACAACUCAAACUGUCAAGAGCGCAGAGCCUGAUUAUGAGAAUAUUUUUUUAGAGGCUAAAACACAGACAUGCACCAGUGUAAACAUGAUCCCCCAGUUCCAGAUCCGGAAGUUUGAAGAGGCUGAAGUUGUGGUGUCUCAUAUUGUGAGCCCAGGCAACUUCUACAUCCAGUAUGCUGACUGGGAUGAGAAGCUCCAUUCCCUCAUCACGGAGAGCUUUAAGGCCAGUAGUUCUUAUGCAGAGAAAAAAUGCAUCCCAGAUUUGGGAACUCUUGUAAUGGCUUGGUUCCCCAUGCAGAAUAAGUGGUGCAGGGCUCAGGUGAUGAAAGUAUGUGGAAUAUGCAAAGAUAAGAAAGCUUCUGACAGCGUGGAAAAUAGGACGUCAAUUGUGGUGGAGGUGAAGCGUCUGGACUACGGUGAUGCUGUCUGUCUGUCUUUGCAGAAUAUUAAACAGCUCACACCUGAAAUGACUGUUCUGCCUCUUCAAGCUGUGCAGGUGUCACUGGCUAAUGUGGUGCCUGUGACUGGGAAUCACUGGUCUCAGCAGUCUGUGAGCUGGUUCAGAGCGCUAGUGCAUAACAGGACACUGUACGCCCGGCUGUACCCACACGGGAACAAUAUAGCAGUGGAGCUGUACCUAGAGAGAGGGAAGCUGGGAGCUAUGAGGUGCAUGCAUUUAAAACAAGGGAAAUGUUGAAUGUAGGGAUUCAUUAACACUGCUUAUCUCUUUAUCGGUGCUUUGAGUUGUUGUGUAUUCAGAUGUGAAGUGUUAGUAACCCAAUAGUCUAUUUAGAGAAUGGUUCAUUCAGUCACUGCAGAGAUGCCAAAUACAAGGCCAGGGUUCAUCUGGUACUGGUGAAGAUAAAAUAAGCACUGCAUGAAACUGUAUUGAAAAGAGAACAACCUUUUUAGUUCUAUUCUGCAUUAUAUAAAGAGCUUUAGCUGAAAACAUUUCAGAAACAAAACUAAUGACUUCAUAUUUUUGAAUAAAAUGUUAUGAAGUUGAGCA
ensembl:lncRNA